AUCUCUUCUCGGCCUAUCAUGGCUAAGAUCAAGUGUAGUAUCUGUUCUUAUCAGCGUAAUCUCUGAUAUGUCCUGAUUUUGGGACUUUCUAUUACUCCUAUUUUUGAAAUACGGAGGUGGAUCGGGAGCUUGCUCCGUCCUCUCCAGCAUCGCCCCGGUAUUGCAGUGUUUCCGGGUCCGGUGCAUUCCUU
ensembl:snRNA U2 U2 spliceosomal RNA